rnacentral:lncRNA from 1 species
GUUUAAUUAUCACAUAGACAGAUUCGGUUCCCCAUUUGCAAGUGCCCAGGUCCUCCUGUGGCAAGGGUUGGCAACACAAUUAAGGGGAAAACCUGUAUUAUGUUUGGCUGAUACAUGAAGUGACCUUACUGUGGCCAGCACUGUCAUUCCCUAACAUUUCACUCAUGAUUAAGUUUAUCAUUUCAAAUAAACACAAAAUGUCAGCUCUCUGGGUCUACUUAAUAUGGAGAGCCAAACUGGAUCACUCUUUGAUUUGGAAGGGAUGAGGCCAAGAGAAUAAUCUGAUUAGCUUCCAUAGAUAAUUUUUAUUACAGCUAUUGGAUAAUAUAAGCUGGGUGAAAUCCACCUUCCAAUUGGUAGGUUGCCAUAGGCCAAACCCUCAGGAUGCCCAACAUUUUCUUUUGACAUCUCCAACUAAUUAGCUCAAAGCUGUAGUUCCUCAGCUCUGUAUUUCUAAGGAGCAUUACCCUUUGGCACAGGGCCAACUAACCCCACCUCAAUUUCUCUGACAUUUAUUCUGACUCUCCAACAUUGGAGGAUUCUUUUGCUUUUUUUUUUAUUAUUUCUUUCUUCUGUUGCUCUUGCUGACGAGUAGAUCAAAGCUGUUAGAGCAACCUUAAUCCAUCUGCUCUUCAGUCAUUGCCCUCAUCCUUAAUACACAAGCUCUGUCGCAUUUUUGUGCACGUAACACAGUCUAUAGGAAUGAUCUCUUUCUUGAACAUUCUUUUAUCCAGUGGUAAACUCCCAGACAACUGGAAGAGAGAAAGAAAUGUCAUGGCAGUCAAAUUUUCUCGGAAGACAUUGCUACAGAUGGGAUGUCUCCAUUAUGGUGAAGAAGAGAUGAUGUCACCACAAGGAGAAUUAUAGAAUCACAAAUGGACAUAGAUCUGGAAAGAUUGCCUGGCUUCUCUCCCUGUAGGAGACCGAGGAUACUCUGGUAGAGAAAUGAUGUUGCACAAAGAACCCUGGAGUCAAUAGAUGUGAGUUAAGAGGAAACCUGGUCUGAACAGUGGCUAAAGUGCUGGAACUGCAGUCUAGAAGAGCAGAGUUCAAAUAUUGUCUCUGAGGAUCACUCGUCGUGUGACCAAUGCUUGGAGCUUCGGCUGGUGACUUGCCUCUUGGAAGUGGCUUUGGACUUGAACCUUGGCUUUGACUUUGGUCCUUGGGUUCUUGGAUUGCUUCCUGGAGGAGUGCUCUUGGAUCUUCUCUUUUGGACUUCAACUUGGAUACAUGGGUACCUAAGGAACAAAGGAAGAAGAUGCCAAUAGAUCCAGUUAUGAAGAACAAAUGCUCAGUUAAGUGCUGUGACCUAGAAUCCAGUAUCACAGAGCAUCCCUGAGGCCAACUGGGAUUUUCAAGGUUCAGGAGCAUGUAGGCAUAACAAAGGACAAACAUGAUAUACUGUAA